GGUAAAGUGUACGGGAAGUUCGGGUGUUCGGCGUGUGUUUGGCGUUUCCUUUUCCUACGUUGUCCGCGCCCUUUGUCUCACCGUGACCUGGUAUAUUCCCACUUGUUGCUCGCUUUUUACGGGCUUCUUGUUGCCUCGAAGAUCAUCAUGAUUGCCUCCGACGCAGCCACAUCAAAGAUUCAGAGGCCACAGCCAGAACGGGAAAGGUUCACAUAGGUUGGAGGAAUGCUCGUUGAUAAGAAGAUCCUGGCACAGUUUACCAUGGCCUGCCAUGGUGGACCAGGCAAGCUUGCAAGCGUCUUGCUUCACCGUGCGUUCACAGAGGAAGACCUCAUGGGCCACUCACUCUUUGGAAACAACACCAAGGGGUAAAAAGAGGCUCUUGACCCCGUCAGGGUCAAGGCUGGUUGACCACCAAAGCAGAGUGGAUGGGGGUGUCCUUGAGGAGCUCGAAUGUUGCCAGGUAGCCAUUGCUGCUCUACUCUUUGUGGAUCAGUACUACGGCAGGGAUAGCACCACUGAGACAGUGCAUCAGUCGCAUCACAAGAGGCUGUUGAAUCCACAGACACGCUGUCCCUUGCAAGCUCAAGCUCCUGGAACCUGCGCAUAAUGGGGUCACUACAAGGACAGCCCAGCAGGUACUGCUGCCACCACGGCUCACUGUGACAUGAUUGCCUCGAAAGUUGUGUGAAAAGUGCACUUACAAAAGGAAUCUUUUGGAACACUUUAACUGCACGAGCUUCACCAAUCUGUAUGGCAAGAAACGUUUCUACAAAAUAUUCUUUGUUUAUAUCCAAAGAAGAAAAAUGGAGCCCAAAAUAACACAGCAACUCUGGCAACAUUGAGACUUUAUAUGUGCAUCAUGGAGCCAAGGAAAAUUUAGUAAUGGAUACAAUUCUUUCUUAAUGAAUAAAAAUGUAGUCUUCACUUAUUCAUAAACAAAUCAACUCUGUUCUAUGAGGUAAACCAUGAACAGUCACGCCGCGGUAGUGGCAAAAUUUUCUUCCACAGAUGAACAGACACAUUCACGACGCUUUCUGUUGGAGCUAACAAUGUAGGACACUGCUUGACCAUUUGGGUGUCAAGUGUUAUUACGAAAGGAAAAAUUUUAAAUGCUGUUUAAGUGACGCAUUCCAAGUGUUUAAAUUAAAACGCUAUUUGCUGCAAAUA